AAGGCUGCAGUGGUUCCAGAAAUCAUGACCUCAUACCAGCAUGUCCAAAAGCAGAAAGAGAAGAAUGAGGAAACCAGAAUCUGACCAGCUCUCUUAGAGGUGACUUGCAGAAGGAGGAGAGAGAGCAAGACUCUGAAAAUUGCAGUGACCUCUGGCCAGGUUCAUUACUGUGGACAGGGCAGGCCUUUAUUGCCCGUGCGAGGGCAGACUUGUCUUAAUGCACUGCUCCUGGUGUGCCCCCGAAGGAAGGCUUCUACAGGAAUCCAGGGAACUAAGGAAGAGGCUGGCCCAGAGUUCCAAACCAGGAGAACUACACCUGUAUUUCUGAUAGCGACUGGACAAAGAGGACUGGGACCCUCAACUUCUCCAGAAGACGAGACACCCCCCUCCCCUGCUCCUAGGGUGGACAGGCCUGACGCUCCUCCAGUGGCCUCCCAUGAGCCAUGACCAGGCUGGAAAAAACUGGGAUGGGACCCAUGGGCAUUUAAAGAUGGGAAUUGGGAUACUGGGCUGAGGCUGGGGCAGGGAGGUGAGACAGAAGAACUGAGGGUGCAGACAGAAGAAACCAGGUGUGGAGGGGUCAGGGGUCGAGUGACGCCGGCAAGCGCAUGGCUGUGCUGCAGGACCGUCCAGGAAAAGGGUGGCCAUGGAGGACUCACAAUAAAUACAGCCGGAGUCUCGGAGGCUGCA
rnacentral:lncRNA from 1 species